GCCCCAGAUAAAGGCCAGAAGACACUGGGUCUCAUUCCCGUCACAAUGCCCUCAGAAUCGAGCCUUUGGAGAGUCAUGAUCUCCUCCAGGAAGGGUUUUCUUGUGUGAAAAAUGAACUUCUUCCCACUCACCUUCUUGAAUUAUCAGAAAAGAAAAGUUUCAGCUCAACCAAGAUAAAAUGAACUUUCCCACACCAAGGAAUCCCCAGGGUCUGUUCACUCCACUGAGGUCACAAAUGGAACCCAGAGUGGUGCAUUGAGUUCAGUGUGCUCCAUUGGUUCUGAGUGCAGGCCUCACGCUGUACUGAGGGGCAAUGAUGAGACCAUUGGUUCUAAGACUACCCUUAAUGACCCAUCACAAAGAGAACUGGUGGGAGAGUCCCAUUUCAUGGUAGAAUGUGCUCUGGGCUUGCUGUAA
rnacentral:lncRNA from 1 species